UUAGAAUUCACGUAGGCUAUCUCAACUUGCUUGUUAUACUGAGGUAUAAUUAUUGUUGUCGUUGUAACUUGUUGACCUGGUAUUGUUUUAAUGUUCCUGUGAGAUACUAGCACUCUUUAAAGGAUUAGAAUUGGCACAUCAACGGCGACUCGUACCCCUGCAAAUUAACAUUGACGCCUCAGAGGUUAUCCAUAGCCUUUCAACUAUAAACUCUGCUAACAAAUUUAUUUCAUGACUGCACGUCAUUGUUCAGCUGCUUGAAUAAUCCAGCAGUAACAAAUGUAUUCAGGGAGCAGAACCGAGUAGUGGAUAGGCUGGCAAAACAUGGGAGGCUAUGACACUUCACUCUUUCGAUGUCUCUUGGGGCACCUACUUUCGUCACAAAGAUGAUCUGGGAAGAUGCAGAAGACAAGUUUCUUCUUUCAAAUCGAAAGGCACAUGGAUGCACCAGCAUCCCCUCUCUACCCUUCUUUUGUUGUACAUCAUCUGAUGUAGCCCCUCAUGUUAACACUUUUUGUAAUGCCUUUCCUAGUAGUCACUUGUUUUCCAUUCCUUUUGUAAUGACCCUAUCAUGAGCCAGCCAGCUGGGGUUUUAGCACCAGCUAAUGUUGUAACUAUGCCAGCAAUGGCUCCAUGUACCUAUGUUUAGUUUUUAAUAUAAGCUUCCUUUGCACCAAAAAAGUUCUUGUGCGUUGAUAAUCAAAAAAGAUGUCAAAGGUGAGCAUUUCGGUGAUCCUUCUUCUCAUAUUUGUCUUCUGCAG
rnacentral:lncRNA from 1 species